rnacentral:rRNA from 1 species
ACAGAGGGUGCAAGCGUUAAUCGGAUUUACUGGGCGUAAAGGGCGCGUAGGCGGCAAAUUAAGUCAGCUGUGAAAUCUCCGGGCUUAACUCGGAACGGUCAGCUGAUACUGCUUUGCUAGAGUGCGGAAGGGGCAAUCGGAAUUCUCGGUGUAGCGGUGAAAUGCGUAGAUAUCGAGAGGAACACCUGAGGUGAAGACGGGUUGCUGGGCCGACACUGACGCUGAGGCGCGAAAGCCAGGGUAGCAAACGGGA